GGGGCUAUAGCUCAGCUGGUUAGAGCGCACGCCUGAUAAGCGUGAGGUCGAUGGUUCGAGUCCAUUUAGACCCACCA
rnacentral:tRNA from 1 species